rnacentral:rRNA from 1 species
GACGAACGCUGGCGGCGUGCUUAACACAUGCAAGUCGAACGGUAAGGCCCUUCGGGGUACACGAGUGGCGAACGGGUGAGUAACACGUGGGUGAUCUGCCCUGCACUUCGGGAUAAGCCUGGGAAACUGGGUCUAAUACCGGAUAGGACCACUGCCUGCAUGGGUGGUGGUGGAAAGCUUUUGCGGUGUGGGAUGGGCCCGCGGACUAUCAGCUUGUUGGUGGGGUGAUGGCCUACCAAGGCGACGACGGGUAGCCGGCCUGAGAGGGUGACCGGCCACACUGGGACUGAGAUCCGGCCCAGACUCCUACGGGAGGCAGCAGUGGGGAAUAUUGCACAAUGGGGGCAAGCCUGAUGCAGCGACGCCGCGUGAGGGAUGACGGCCUUCGGGUUGUAAACCUCUUUCAGCUAUGACGAAGCGCAAGUGACGGUAGUAGCAGAAGAAGGACCGGCCAACUACGUGCCAGCCGCCGCCGUAA